rnacentral:rRNA from 1 species
UUCUUCGGAUUGAUAUCCUUAGUGACUGAGUGGCGGACGGGUGAGUAACGCGUGGGUAACCUGCCUCAUACAGGGGGAUAACAGUUAGAAAUGGCUGCUAAUACCGCAUAAGCGCACAGUACCGCAUGGUACCGUGUGAAAAACUCCGGUGGUAUGAGAUGGACCCGCGUCUGAUUAGCUAGUUGGCAGGGUAACGGCCUACCAAGGCGACGAUCAGUAGCCGACCUGAGAGGGUGAUCGGCCACAUUGGGACUGAGACACGGCCCAAACUCCUACGGGAGGCAGCAGUGGGGAAUAUUGCACAAUGGGGGAAACCCUGAUGCAGCGACGCCGCGUGAGCGAAGAAGUAUUUCGGUAUGUAAAGCUCUAUCAGCAGGGAAGAAAAUGACGGUACCUGACUAAGAAGCACCGGCUAAAUACGUGCCAGCAGCCGCGGUAAUACGUAUGGUGCAAGCGUUAUCCGGAUUUACUGGGUGUAAAGGGAGCGUAGACGGAUGGGCAAGUCUGAUGUGAAAACCCGGGGCUCAACCCCGGGACUGCAUUGGAAACUGUUCAUCUAGAGUGCUGGAGAGGUAAGUGGAAUUCCUAGUGUAGCGGUGAAAUGCGUAGAUAUUAGGAGGAACACCAGUGGCGAAGGCAGCCUGCU